AAUCUCCAACUGAAAAAUCAAGUGUUUCCUCCUCCUUAUUGUAACGCACGCAGCCAUCCCUUCUCACAUUCUUCCAUCAAAAAUCUGAGAAAAAGAAAUCGCAAAUACCGUGAGUUUGACAUCCAAUCUGCCGUUACUUUCUUCUCUUCCUUCGGAAGAUUGAAGGAGAAAACCAAGAGGAUUGUGAUAUUUUUCAAUACCUUCUCUUCUACAAGUUUCGCUCCUUACGGAAGGGUGAAAUUGUGCACGUGGUUGAGGUUGGGACAGGAAGUUUGUGGAGGAGCUAAGCUUUGAGGUGG